GACGAACGCUGGCGGCGUGCUUAACACAUGCAAGUCGAACGGAAAGGCCCUGCUUUUGUGGGGUGCUCGAGUGGCGAACGGGUGAGUAACACGUGAGUAACCUGCCCUUGACUUUGGGAUAACUUCAGGAAACUGGGGCUAAUACCGGAUAGGAGCUCCUGCUGCAUGGUGGGGGUUGGAAAGUUUCGGCGGUUGGGGAUGGACUCGCGGCUUAUCAGCUUGUUGGUGGGGUAGUGGCUUACCCAGGCUUUGACGGGUAGCCGGCCUGAGAGGGUGACCGGCCACAUGGGGACUGGGAUACGGCCCAGACUCCAACGGGAGGCAAGAGUGGGGAAUAUUGCAAAAUGGGCGGAGGCCUGAUGCAGCAACGCCGGGUGCGGGAUGACGGCCUUCGGGUUGUAAACCGCUUUCGCGUGUGACGAAGCGUGAGUGACGGUAAUGGGUAAAGAAGCACCGGCUAACUACGU
rnacentral:rRNA from 1 species